rnacentral:rRNA from 2 species
GUGGUGGCACAAAAUCGGAGGCCCCGACUGUUUACUUAAAACAUAAGAAUCUGCAAUGAUUAAUAUCGUGGUAUAGGUUCUGAAAUUUGCCCAAUGCCAUUAAUAUAAGUGCGGUAAUGAGAGUUACUAAUCGAAUGUCUGGUUAAUAGCGGUCUUAACUAUGAGGAUCCAAAGGUAGCAAAAUCAGUUGGCCAUUAAAUGUGGUCUUGUAUCAAUAAUGUAACGAUGGCCUCACUGUCUCUACAAGUCGCUCAGUGAAAUUGAAUUGUGAGUGCAGAUGCUCACUACCUCCGGGGGGACGGGAAGACCCUAUGCAGCUUCUACUG